rnacentral:rRNA from 1 species
UUGAAAGGGAAACGAUUGAAGGCAGUCGGACCCGCGGGGAAUCAACCUUUCGAGUGGGGGUUUUGGAGUUUUGAAGAGUGUCAAAACCUUUGAGAUUUCAAAAUUUUCGCUCCUUUGGUGUACUUUCUCGUGGGUAGGUUAACAUCGAUUUCGAUCAUCAUAAAAGGAUUGGAGGAAUGUAGCUUCGAUCUUGUAUUGAAGUGUUAUAGCCUUUGGUAAAUGUGAUGAUUGGGAUCGAGGAUUGCAACGAAUACCCUUUUGGGCUAUCCGCCUGAUCUCUGAUACGUGGCCUUGGCAUCGAAAGCUUGCUUAUGGUAUCAAGGUAUUACGGUCAAAAGGUUAGAACGGAUUACAUUCGUUAAGGAUGUUGACGUA